rnacentral:rRNA from 1 species
AUUGAACGCUGGCGGAAUGCUUUACACAUGCAAGUCGAGCGGCAGCGCGGCCUUCGGGCUGGCGGCGAGCGGCGAACGGGUGAGUAAUGCAUCGGAACAUGCCCAGUCGUGGGGGAUAACACUUCGAAAGAAGUGCUAAUACCGCAUACGUCCUGAGGGGGAAAGCGGGGGAUCGCAAGACCUCGCGCGAUUGGAGUGGCCGAUGUCAGAUUAGCUAGUUGGUGGGGUAAAAGCCUACCAAGGCGACGAUCUGUAGCUGGUCUGAGAGGAUGAUCAGCCACACUGGGACUGAGACACGGCCCAGACUCCUACGGGAGGCAGCAGUGGGGAAUUUUGGACAAUGGGGGCAACCCUGAUCCAGCCAUUCCGCGUGAGUGAAGAAGGCCUUCGGGUUGUAAAGCUCUUUCGGCAGGAACGAAACGGUGGGCUCUAACAUAGUCCGCUAAUGACGGUACCUGAAGAAGAAGCACCGGCUAACUACGUG